CUGUCAUCCAGAAGACGAGGUCAGUACAGGUGCAUCAAAGCUGGGACCGAGAGACUGAAAAACAGCUUCUAUCUCAAGGCCAUCAGACUGUUAAACAGCUUCUAUCUCAAGGCCAUCAGACUGAAAAACAGCUUCUAUCUCAAGGCCAUCAGACUGAAAAACAGCUUCUAUCUCAAGGCCAUCAGACUGAAAAACAGCUUCUAUCUCAAGGCCAUCAGACUGUUAAACAGCUUCUAUCUCAAGGCCAUCAGACUGUUAAACAGCUUCUAUCUCAAGGCCAUCAGACUGUUAAACAGCUUCUAUCUCAAGGCCAUCAGACUGUUAAACAGCUUCUAUCUCAAGGCCAUCAGACUGUUAAACAGACACCACUAACUCAGAGAGGCUGCUGCCAACAUACUGACCCGAAUCACUGGCCUCUUUAAACAAUGUCACUCUAAAUAAUGGCACUAUAAUAAUGUUUACAUAUCCUACAUUACUCAUAUCAUAUGUACUGUAUUUUAUACCAUCUCUUGUAUCUUGCCUUUGCCGCUCAGCCAUCACUCAU
ensembl:lncRNA